UACGUAGGGGGCGAGCGUUGUCCGGAAUUAUUGGUCGUAAAGCGCGCGCAGGCGGUUUUUUAAGUUCGUGGUGAAAGACCGGGGCUCAACCCCGGAGCGUCCGCGAAGACUGGAAGACUGGAGUGUCGGAGAGGAGUGCGGAAUACCUGGUGUAGCGGUGGAAUGCGUAGAGAUCAGGUGGAACACCGAUGGCGAAGGCAGCACUCUGGCCGAAUACUGACGCUGAGGCGCGAAAGCGUGGGGAGCGAACGGG
rnacentral:rRNA from 1 species